rnacentral:rRNA from 1 species
AGGACGAACGCUGGCGGCGUGCCUAACACAUGCAAGUGGAGCGACGAACCAGGCUUCGGCCUGGGGCAGAGCCGCGAACGGGUGAGUAACACGUGGGUAACCUGCCCUGAUGAUUGGGACAACCCGAGGAAACUCGGGCUAAUACCGAAUGUGCCCUCCGGCCUCAAGGCCGCUGGGGAAAGGAAGCUUCGGCCUCCGCAUCGGGAUGGGCCCGCGGCCCAUUAGCUUGUUGGUGAGGUAACGGCUCACCAAGGCAACGAUGGGUAGCUGGUCUGAGAGGACGAUCAGCCACACUGGGACUGAGACACGGCCCAGACUCCUACGGGGGGCAGCAGUGGGGAAUCUUGCGCAAUGCGCGAAAGCGUGACGCAGCAACGUCGCGUGGGGGAAGAGGCUUUCGGGUUGUAACCCCUUUCAGUUGGGACGAGCUUCUUCGGUGAAUAGCCGAACGGAGUGACGGUACCUUCACAAGAAGCACCGGCUAACUCGUGCCAGCAGCCGCGGUAA